GCCUGGACAGCCAGUGACAAUGGAAGCUGGACAGAUACCCAAAGACAAAAUUAUGACUUCAAUUCAAAUGGGCAAAAUUGUACAUCAAAUAACAAUUUCCAGUUAAAUGUCCUCAUGAAACUAGAUAAAAUAAUUGCAAAACAGGAAGAGCAUUCUCUCUUGCUUCGGCGGCUACUGCAGACAAGAGAGGAAGACACAGGGCCAGAAAACCCUAUCCCAUCUAUUGGUCAGUUACCUGACUUGCUCUCCUUUGAGGAUAAGCUGAGGGUGGACGAAGAGCUCCAAAGAAAAAAGGAUUAGAAUUUGA